CUAUGCGCCUUGCCAGCCCGCUCAGGUGUGCCAGCCGCCGCGGUAAUACCAGCACCCCGAGUUGUCGGGACGAUUAUUGGGCCUAAAGCAUCCGUAGCCUGUUCUGCAAGUCCUCCGUUAAAUCCACCUGCUUAACGGAUGGGCUGCGGGGGAUACUGCAGAGCUAGGAGGCGGGAGAGGCAAACGGUACUCAGUGGGUAGGGGUAAAAUCCUUUGAUCUACUGAAGACCACCAGUGGCGAAGGCGGUUUGCCAGAACGCGCUCGACGGUGAGGAUGAAAGCUGGGGAGCAAACCGG
rnacentral:rRNA from 1 species